AGAGUUUGAUCCUGGCUCAGGAUGAACGCUAGCGACAGGCUUAACACAUGCAAGUCGAGGGGCAGCGAGGGAGUGGCAACACUUCCGUCGGCGACCGGCGCACGGGUGAGUAACGCGUAUGCAACCUGCCCUUCACAGGGGGAUAACCGGGAGAAAUUCCGACUAAUACCGCAUACGUCCUCCGGGGGCAUCCCCGGGGGAUGAAAGAAUUAUCGGUGAAGGAUGGGCAUGCGUGAUAUUAGGUAGUUGGCGGGGCAACGGCCCACCAAGCCCACGAUAUCUAGGGGUUCUGAGAGGAAGGUCCCCCACAUUGGUACUGAGACACGGACCAAACUCCUACGGGAGGCAGCAGUGAGGAAUAUUGGUCAAUGGACGAGAGUCUGAACCAGCCAAGUAGCGUGAAGGAUGAAGGUCCUACGGAUUGUAAACUUCUUUUAUAAGGGAAUAAAACCUCCCACGUGUGGGAGCUUGUAUGUACCUUAUGAAUAAGCAUCGGCUAACUCCGUGCCAGCAGCCGCGGUAAUACGGAGGAUGCGAGCGUUAUCCGGAUUUAUUGGGUUUAAAGGGAGCGCAGGCUGCGAGGCAAGUCAGCGGUCAAAUGUCGGGGCUCAACCCCGGCCUGCCGUUGAAACUGUCCUGCUAGAGUUCGAGUGAGGUAUGCGGAAUGCGUUGUGUAGCGGUGAAAUGCAUAGAUAUGACGCAGAACUCCGAUUGCGAAGGCAGCAUACCAACUCGCGACUGACGCUGAGGCUCGAAAGCGUGGGUAUCGAACAGGAUUAGAUACCCUGGUAGUCCACGCAGUAAACGAUGAAUACUAACUGUUCGGAGGGCGACCUCUGAGUGGUAAAGCGAAAGCGUUAAGUAUUCCACCUGGGGAGUACGCCGGCAACGGUGAAACU
rnacentral:rRNA from 1 species